GACUCAGGACCCCGGACUGAAGGGACCCUCGCUGCUCACACUGCGGAGGAGGCCGUCCCACCUGCUGGAGAAAACCCUCCUGAACACGGAUACAAACACACAAUUCAACAAGGAUAACCUCACCCACAGCCCGCCGCGGACACCCAGCCCAGCCUCGGCAGGAGGUGUGGGAUUUAUCGAUCUGAUCCACACCUGUUCGUCAAAGCGAGGCUGCACACCAACUCAUGAGUCGUCCUGCACAUCUGGAGUCCGAGAGAUACUGCCCACCGUCCUCAGCACCACAUGUGGAUGUUUUAGUCUCCAUGGAUGCAGGAGACACGAUGCGAGUGGAGGCAGCUUCAGACUUACCAUUUCUGUCAACAAUGGAGCCUGUUCCUAUCUUUGGUUAUCUAGCUGUAUGAGUGUUAAACCUCCAUCAUAAAGCUAGAUAACCGAAAGUAGGAAUGACCUCCAAACCUUCAGCCUCCUGCGUUAAUGAGAGAAAAGACAAAGACAAACACCAGAGGACAUCAUGUCUUUUCAGGAAAGGACCAUAAUGAUGCAGCGGAGGCUCGUCAGAGCGUGUAUCAGCGUGUUAAUCACACGGACUCACCGGACAACACAUGGGGCUUUGUCUCUGUGCGACUCAGCUGCAAAUACAGCUCAAGCCACAGUUCAUAUACAUUGUCUGCCAUUAAACCUUUGCAUAAAUGAGUUUUGAUUCUGAAAAAGAACAUAUUCUAGAUAUAAUUAUAUUCAAGUGUUAUUGCUUUGCUUUUGGAAAAUUACUUUUGAAAAAUGUGUAAAAAUGCAAAUGGUUUUGAUUGAAAUGUGAGCUUUGAUUGAUGACACAGCUUCCUCUAAUUAAAGUAAUAUGGACUUUGUUUUUUGUAGUUGAAUAUGUGUGAUGUCAUCCGCAUUUGGAUGAAUACAUGUCCCUUAAAACGCUGCUGUUUCUGUUCAUUUACAAUUUGUGUAAGUUAAUUUAUUAAAAUGGCAUUAUAGCAUUUGAGAUUAUCAAGUGAUCUGAAUUACAUGUGUUGCUCUUCCCU